rnacentral:rRNA from 1 species
GUGGGGAAUAUUGCACAAUGGGGGAAACCCUGAUGCAGCAACGCCGCGUGGAGGAUGACACAUUUCGGUGCGUAAACUCCUUUUAUAUGAGAAGAUAAUGACGGUAUCAUAUGAAUAAGCUCCGGCUAACUCCGUGCCAGCAGCCGCGGUAAUACGGGGGGAGCAAGCGUUACUCGGAAUCACUGGGCGUAAAGCGCAUGUAGGCUGGUAAUUAAGUUGGAAGUGAAAUCCUAUGGCUUAACCAUAGAACUGCUUCCAAAACUGAUUACCUAGAAUAUGGGAGAGGUAGAUGGAAUUUCUGGUGUAGGGGUAAAAUCCGUAGAGAUCAGAAGGAAUACCGAUUGCGAAGGCGAUCUACUGGAACAUUAUUGACGCUGAGAUGCGAAAGCGUGGGGAGCAAACAGGAUUAGAUACCCUGGUAGUCCACGCCCUAAACGAUGUACACUAGUUGUUGCGAUACUAGAUAUUGCAGUAAUGCAGUUAACACAUUAAGUGUACCGCCUGGG